GAUGAACGCUGGCGGCGUGCCUAAUACAUGCAAGUCGAGCGAACAGACGAGGAGCUUUCUCCUCUGACGUUAGCGGCGGACGGGUGAGUAACACGUGGAUAACCUACCUAUAAGACUGGGAUAACUUCGGGAAACCGGAGCUAAUACCGGAUAGUAUAUUGAACCGCAUGGUUCAAUAGUGAAAGACGGUUUUGCUGUCACUUAUAGAUGGAUCCGCGCCGCAUUAGCUAGUUGGUAAGGUAACGGCUUACCAAGGCAACGAUGCGUAGCCGACCUGAGAGGGUGAUCGGCCACACUGGAACUGAGACACGGUCCAGACUCCUACGGGAGGCAGCAGUAGGGAAUCUUCCGCAAUGGGCGAAAGCCUGACGGAGCAACGCCGCGUGAGUGAUGAAGGUCUUCGGAUCGUAAAACUCUGUUAUUAGGGAAGAACAAAUGUGUAAGUAACUAUGCACGUCUUGACGGUACCUAAUCAGAAAGCCACGGCUAACUACGUG
rnacentral:rRNA from 1 species